UCGAUUCCCUUAGUAGCGGCGAGCGAAACGGGAAGAGCCCAAACCAACAAGCUUGCUUGUUGGGGUUGUAGGACACUCUAUACGGAGUUACAAAGGACGACAUUAGACGAAUCAUCUGGAAAGAUGAAUCAAAGAAGGUAAUAAUCCUGUAGUCGAAAAUGUUGUCUCUCUUGAGUGGAUCCUGAGUACGACGGAGCACGUGAAAUUCCGUCGGAAUCUGGGAGGACCAUCUCCUAAGGCUAAAUACUCUCUAGUGACCGAUAGUGAACCAGUACCGUGAGGGAAAGGUGAAAAGCACCCCGGAAGGGGAGUGAAAUAGAACCUGAAACCGUGUGCUUACAAGUAGUCAGAGCCCGUUAAUGGGUGAUGGCGUGCCUUUUGUAGAAUGAACCGGCGAGUUACGAUUUGAUGCAAGGUUAAGCAGUAAAUGUGGAGCCGUAGCGAAAGCGAGUCUGAAUAGGGCGUUUAGUAUUUGGUCGUAGACCCGAAACCAGGUGAUCUACCCUUGGUCAGGUUGAAGUUCAGGUAACACUGAAUGGAGGACCGAACCGACUUACGUUGAAAAGUGAGCGGAUGAACUGAGGGUAGCGGAGAAAUUCCAAUCGAACCUGGAGAUAGCUGGUUCUCUCCGAAAUAGCUUUAGGGCUAGCCUCAAGUGAUGAUUAUUGGAGGUAGAGCACUGUUUGGACGAGGGGCCCCUCUCGGGUUACCGAAUUCAGACAAACUCCGAAUGCCAAUUAAUUUAACUUGGGAGUCAGAACAUGGGUGAUAAGGUCCGUGUUCGAAAGGGAAACAGCCCAGACCACCAGCUAAGGUCCCAAAAUAUAUGUUAAGUGGAAAAGGAUGUGGCGUUGCCCAGACAACUAGGAUGUUGGCUUAGAAGCAGCCAUCAUUUAAAGAGUGCGUAAUAGCUCACUAGUCGAGUGACACUGCGCCGAAAAUGUACCGGGGCUAAACAUAUUACCGAAGCUGUGGAUUGUCCUUUGGACAAUGGUAGGAGAGCGUUCUAAGGGCGUUGAAGCAUGAUCGUAAGGACAUGUGGAGCGCUUAGAAGUGAGAAUGCCGGUGUGAGUAGCGAAAGACGGGUGAGAAUCCCGUCCACCGAUUGACUAAGGUUUCCAGAGGAAGGCUCGUCCGCUCUGGGUUAGUCGGGUCCUAAGCUGAGGCCGACAGGCGUAGGCGAUGGAUAACAGGUUGAUAUUCCUGUACCACCUAUAAUCGUUUUAAUCGAUGGGGGGACGCAGUAGGAUAGGCGAAGCGUGCGAUUGGAUUGCACGUCUAA
rnacentral:rRNA from 1 species